AGUGAACGCUGGCGGCGUGCCUAAUACAUGCAAGUCGAACGAAGUGGCGCACGGGGGAGUAAUAUAAUGUGAAUAUACCAUACACGGAGGAACAACAGUUGGAAACGACUGCUAAUACCUCAUAGUGUAGGAUGAGACUAUAUCGUAUCAGCAAGUUGGUAAGGUAAUGGCUUAUCCAGGCUAUGAAGGGUAACAGGUCUGAGAAGAUGAUCAGUCACCUUGGAACUGAGACACCGUCCAAACUCCUACGGCAAGGAGCGAUAAGGAAUAGUGCGCAAUGCGCGAAAGCGAGACGGAGCUUCGGCGCGUGAAGGAUUACACUUUUCGAAGCGUAAACUCCUUUUUUCAGGAAAGCGGUACCCGAUGAAUAAGCACCGGCUAACUCCGUGCCAGCAGCCGCGGUAAUAC
rnacentral:rRNA from 1 species